GAAGGCCCAGAUCUGCAAAAUUUACAAGCUACUAAUUCAUUGUCUCCUUUAAGAAUUUGGAGCAAAAAUUACUCCAACUAUGCGGAAAUCGAUUCACAUCAUCAUGGCAGGUUUUGACUAUGAGGGAAUUCAGGUUAGAGUCAAAUAGAAUAAUGGUCCAUGGAGAACAAUACUUUCUGAUUUUUCUUCAAGUUGGAUGAAAAGCUUUUUCUUCAUUUAAAAAAAAAAAAAAAAAGUCCUCCUGAGAAUUUUGCCUUCGAAAAAGUCAGAAGUUUUAUAACAGCUGCCUGUAGCUACAUUAUAACUUCAGUAAUCAAGUGACAAAACUGUCUCAUUAUGCUUUUAAAAUACUGAUUAAGUGCAUUCCAGAAAUAAUACAUAUCAUUCUUCAUUUCAAAAUCAACCUACCUGAGUUCUGACUCUUCAAAUGCGUGUAGCCAUUUUACAAAACCAAAGGGUCUCAUUUCCCAAACAGUACUUUAAAUAUCUAACUUAAUCCUAUUAAUACUCAUAUCAAUGCACAAAAUAAACAGCCAAGGCAGUUCCAUCAAGUCUUCAGGCACUACAUAAUAAUAAAUAGGUUUCCAAAAUCACUUAAUAAAAACACAGUUAUAAUGUGCUCGGCCUUCAUUAGCAUCCUCUGCAUGGGGUGGUCUUCAUUUAACCUGAAUUAUUUUAACAUUUUAGCUAAUUUGUUUGCUGCAAUUUCAUGGGUCUAAAUUUUUGGUUUGGCUUGCAAUGUAAAUUAUAUUGUACAUCUGCUCCUCUGUUAUUAGAUUUACUUUGUGAAUAAUAUCUUUUAAAACUUGAGUUAUCAAAAACUUAAAUUAUGAUGUCAUCAACUAAUACCAGGUAAAUAUACUAAUAUAUAUGUAGGGCAUGAUUAAAUUGCAUAUAUUUUGAAAUGUCAAACUAUUUUUUGUUUUUUAAAAAAAUGAAUGCAUCUCUUAAACCUGUACCAUUCAUUUUAAAAGUUUCAUUUGGUAUUUCAUAUUAUAUUUUAAAAUAUUUUUCUGUAUCUAGUAGUACAGGUUUAAAGAAACUUUUUCUGAUUGAAAUGAUAAAAUAUGCCUCAUUUCACUAGAAUUUUAAGAAUAAUACAUGUAAAAGUAUAACUCAUAUAGAAUUAUAAAUAUCCACAAUAUCUUGCUUUUCAUGUAACACCACUUUUUACUUAUUCUUUUGUUAUUAUUCUAAAUCAUCCACAAUGUAAAUAGCAUGUUUCAUGAUGUAAAAUGUCUUUGUAUUUACAGACUGCAGCACAAGGUGAAUUUGUAUAUGAAAAAUGAGUGAUGGAAAUUUGGGAUUCUUAUAAAACAAAGUGGAAAUGAUCGUUGUGUGUUAUAUUUACAUAAUUCAUUACAAAAUUGUCUAGUUAAGUCAUGCAUUUAUUUACCUUAAAAAUGUCCAAACUGUCACUUAUAAAAUAUUUAAAUCAAUAAAUAAUACCAAAAUG
rnacentral:lncRNA from 1 species